rnacentral:rRNA from 1 species
AGAGUUUGAUCCUGGCUCAGGACCAACGCUGGCGGCGUGCGUAACACAUGCAAGUCGGACGCGCGGGGGCAACCCUGGACGCGUGGCGGACGGGUGAGGAACACGUGAGCAACCUGGCCUUUAGNUGGGGGACAACCUGCAGAAAUGCGGGCUAAUCCCGCAUACGGCCGUACGGGGAGGGCCGUACGGAGAAAGCCGAGAGGCGCUAAAGGAGGGGCUUGCGGCCGAUUAGCUAGCUGGUGGGGUAACGGCUCACCAGGGCGACGAUCGGUAGCUGGUCUGAGAGGACGAGCAGCCACACUGGGAUUGAGAACGGCCCAGACUCCUACGGGGGGCAGCAGUGAGGAAUCUUCGGCAAUGGGGGCAACCCUGNACCGAGCGACGCCGCGUGCGGGAAGACGGCCUUCGGGUUGUAAACCGCUUUUCUGUGGGACGNCAAGCAGGACGGUACCACANGAAGAAGCCUCGGCUAACUACGUGCCAGCAGCCGCGGUAAUACGUAGGAGGCGAGCGUUGUCCGGAGUUACUGGGCGUAAAGGGUGCGCAGGCGGCGGUUCGCGUGGAUANAUGAAAUCUCCUGGGCUUACCUGGGAGGAUGGUAUCCAGACGGGAUCGCUUGAGGGUCGGAGAGGGGGCGUGGAAUUCCGGGUGGAGC